UACGGAGGGCGCAAGCGUUGUUCGGAAUCAUUGGGCGUAAAGCGCGUGCAGGCGGCUUGGUAAGUCGGGUGUGAAAGCCCGGAGCUCAACUCCGGAACUGCACCCGAUACUGCCUCGCUCGAGUCCCGGAGAGGAUGGCGGAAUUUCCGGUGUAGAGGUGAAAUUCGUAGAUAUCGGAAGGAACACCAGCGGCGAAGGCGGCCAUCUGGACGGUGACUGACGCUCAGACGCGAAAGCGUGGGGAGCAAACAGGAUUAGAAACCCCCGUAGUCC
rnacentral:rRNA from 1 species